UACAGGGGGUGCAAGCGUUGCUCGGAAUUACUGGGCGUAAAGCGAGCGCAGGCGGCCGAUUAAGUCAGAGGUGAAAGCCCGGGGCUCAACCCCGGAAAUGCCUUUGAAACUGGUAGGCUUGAAUGCAGGAGAGGGUCGCGGAAUUCUUGGUGUAGAGGUGAAAUUCGUAGAUAUCAGGAAGAACACCAGUGGCGAAAGCGGCGACCUGGCCUGACAUUGACGCUCAUGCUCGAGAGCGUGGGGAGCAAAC
rnacentral:rRNA from 1 species